rnacentral:rRNA from 1 species
AUUGAACGCUGGCGGCAGGCCUAACACAUGCAAGUCGAGCGGAUGAAGGGAGCUUGCUCCUGGAUUCAGCGGCGGACGGGUGAGUAAUGCCUAGGAAUCUGCCUGGUAGUUGGGGAUAACGUCCGGAAACGGGCGCUAAUACCGCAUACGUCCUGAGGGAGAAAGUGGGGGAUCUUCGGACCUCACGCUAUCAGAUGAGCCUAGGUCGGAUUAGCUAGUUGGUGGGGUAAAGGCCUACCAAGGCGACGAUCCGUAACUGGUCUGAGAGGAUGAUCAGUCACACUGGAACUGAGACACGGUCCAGACUCCUACGGGAGGCAGCAGUGGGGAAUAUUGGACAAUGGGCGAAAGCCUGAUCCAGCCAUGCCGCGUGUGUGAAGAAGGUCUUCGGAUCGUAAAGCACUUUAAGUUGGGAGGAAGGGAAGUAAGUUAAUACAUUGCUGUUUUGACGUUACCAACAGAAUAAGCACCGGCUAACUUCGUG